rnacentral:misc_RNA from 1 species
UUCAAUUUGAACCGAAUGCUCAGCCCUACAUGACUACUAAGAACAAUUAAAUUUAAGCCAUAAACAAGCUUACAGAAAAGGAGAUUAGUCAUACAGUCCUGGCAUUUUGGUAUAUAAAGGAGAAAAAAUGCUGGCCUCCCAAUAAGGGCUUGGCCUCUAACCUUAAGCCAAUCUUGAAAGACAUCUACAAAUAAAAUAUUUGCUUGACACUGCUGCUAGAAUUGUUAUCGUAAAAUAUAAUUUUUAAAUAUAUUAGUGAGGCAGUAUUAAAAAAUAAAUUAAAAUUAAAUUUAAUAAGUUUUAGUCAUAAGAUCACUAAAAUAAUAAAACAACUUUUCCAAACUGUUUUUUUAAACAACGUCUAAAAUAGUGUUUUUAUUCAAAAAACAGUUUCAGGCCUUCAAAAGUAAUGCCAAAUAGACACGUAGUUGACUCAAUAGAAUCCAUUCAAGUUAAACUAAGACAAAAUCAGAAAAUUAAUCUUGUACCUCGAGCUCAUCUAACUCCCAAU